rnacentral:rRNA from 1 species
GUAGGUGGCAAGCGUUGUCCGGAAUUAUUGGGCGUAAAGCGCGCGCAGGCGGGGUCCUUUAAGUCUGAUGUGAAAGCCCACGGGCUCAACCGUGGAGGGUCAUUGGAAACUGGGGGACUUGAGUACAGAAGAGGGAAGCGGAAUUCCAAGUGUAGCGGUGAAAUGCGUAGAGAUUUGGAGGAACACCAGUGGCGAAGGCGGCUUUCUGGUCUGUAACUGACGCUGAGGCGCGAAAGCGUGGGGAGCAAACAGGAUUAGAUACCCUGGUAGUCCACGCCGUAAACGAUGAGUGCUAAGUGUUAGGGGGUUUCCGCCCCUUAGUGCUGCAGCUAACGCAUUAAGCACUCCGCCUGGGGAGUACGGCCGCAAAGGCUG